rnacentral:rRNA from 1 species
UGCCAGCCGCCGCGGUAAUACGGAGGGUGCAAACGUUGCUCGGAAUUAUUGGGCGUAAAGCGCGCGUAGGCGGCUUAGCAAGUUGGGUGUGAAAGCCCUGAGCUCAACUCAGGAAGUGCACUCAAAACUGCUAGGCUUGAAUCUUGGAGGGGGUCAGAGAAUUCUCGGUGUAGAGGUGAAAUUCGUAGAUAUCGGGAGGAAUACCAGUGGCGAAGGCGCUGGCCUGGACAAUGAUUGACGCUGAGGUGCGAAAGCAUGGGGAGCAAACAGGAUUAGAUA